UUUGAUUCUGGCUCAGGAUGAGCGCUAGCUACAGGCUUCCCACAUGCAAGUCGAGGGGAAACGACAUCGAAAGCUUGCUUUUGAUGGGCGUCGACCGGCGCACGGGUGAGUAACGCGUAUCCAACCUGCCCACCACUUGGGGAUAACCUCGCGAAAGUAAGACUAAUACCCAAUGAUAUCCCACGAAGGCAUCCGAAUGGGAUUAAAGAUUUAUCGGUGAUGGAUGGGGAUGCGUCUGAUUAGCUUGUCGGCGGGGUAACGGCCCACCAAGGCUACGAUCAGUAGGGGUUCUGGGAGGAAGGUCCCCCACAUUGGAACUGAGACACGGUCCAAACUCCUACGGGAGGCAGCAGUGAGGAAUAUUGGUCAAUGGGCGAGAGCCUGAACCAGCCAAGUAGCGUGCAGGAUGACGGCCCUAUGGGUUGUAAACUGCUUUUAUAAGGGAAUAAAGUGAGUCUCGUGAGACUUUUUGCAUGUACCUUAUGAAUAAGGACCGGCUAAUUCCGUGCCAGCAGCCGCGGUAAUACGGAAGGUCCGGGCGUUAUCCGGACUUAUUGGGUUUAAAGGGAGCGUAGGCCGGAGAUUAAGCGUGUUGUGAAAUGUAGUGGCUCAACCUCUGCACUGCAGCGCGAACUGGUCUUCUUGAGUACGCACAACGUGGGCGGAAUUCGUGGUGUAGCGGUGAAAUGCUUAGAUAUCACGAAGAACUCCGAUUGCGAAGGCGGCUCACGGGAGCGCAACUGACGCUGAAGCUCGAAAGUGCGGGUAUCGAACAGGAUUAGAUACCCUGGUAGUCCGCACGGUAAACGAUGGAUGCCCGCUGUUGGCCUGAAUAGGUCAGCGGCCAAGCGAAAGCAUUAAGCAUCCCACCUGGGGAGUACGCCGGCAACGGUGCAACUCAAAGGAAUUGACGGA
rnacentral:rRNA from 1 species